GAUGAACGCUGGCGGCGUGCCUAAUACAUGCAAGUCGAGCGAACGGACGAGAAGCUUGCUUCUCUGAUGUUAGCGGCGGACGGGUGAGUAACACGUGGAUAACCUACCUAUAAGACUGGGAUAACUUCGGGAAACCGGAGCUAAUACCGGAUAAUAUUUUGAACCGCAUGGUUCAAAAGUGAAAGACGGUCUUGCUGUCACUUAUAGAUGGAUCCGCGCUGCAUUAGCUAGUUGGUAAGGUAACGGCUUACCAAGGCAACGAUGCAUAGCCGACCUGAGAGGGGGACGGCCAAACUGGAACUGAGGAACGGUCCAGGCUCCUAAGGGAGGCCGGAGUAGGGAAUCUUCCGGAAUUGGCGGAAGCCUGACGGAGCAAAGCCGGGUGGGUGAUGAAGGUCUUCGGAUCGGAAAAAUCUGUUAUUAGGGAAGAACAUAUGUGUAAGUAACUGUGCACAUCUUGACGGUACCUAAUCAGAAAGCCACGGCUAACUACGUG
rnacentral:rRNA from 1 species